rnacentral:lncRNA from 10 species
AUCCCACCGAGGCCACCAUAGACCAGCCAGCCCUCAGCGUACAUGCCAGCUAAUUACAGAUGCAGGAGCAAACCCCUGGCCCAUACAUCAUUUUCUGGACCACCAGUGACAUGUGGAAUCUUAUGAAGACCCACUGAGGCUGACUCAUUUCUUGAAAAUCCUUUAAUUUUUGACUGGUUUACUGGUCUGUUACUUGCCCCAACCAAUAUUUCAACCUCAGGCUAUCUAAGAGCUGACCUUUGACAGCUCUCCCACGCAUGGGGCUUUUCUAUGCUCUGUUCCAAAUCAAGUCAGUUUUCUCCAGUAGAAAAGUUGCUGUUUUUCACAGCUUGCCCUGUGCUCUGUCAAAACUACCAGGCACAGGAACCAGGGAAGGAGAAGAGGAAUGGGAAGAACCCCAAGAUAAAAUGCCUCAGACAACCACAGUUCCUUCCCAGGGUUGAAUAGUUUUGCUUUAAUAAAUGCUUCUCAAUUUGCUAUAUGCCCUUGUUGGGUUCUAGAGUCCUAACAAGGUUGUUUUUGACAGUUCUGUCCAAUUUUAUUGUUUCUUAAGGAGUUGAUUUGCCACAUUUCUCACUCUACCAUUCUGGA